UACAGAGGGGGGCAAGCGUUGUUCGGAAUUACUGGGCGUAAAGGGCGCGUAGGCGGCCGCCUAAGUCAGACGUGAAAUCCCUCGGCUCAACCGGGGAACUGCGUCUGAUACUGGGUGGCUUGAAUCCGGGAGAGGGAUGCGGAAUUCCAGGUGAGCGGUGAAAUGCGUAGAGUAUCUGGAGGAACACCGGUGGCGAAGGCGGCAUCCUGGACCGGCAUUGACGCUGAGGCGCGAAAGCCGGGAGCAAAGCGGGAUU
rnacentral:rRNA from 1 species